rnacentral:rRNA from 1 species
AUUAAACGCUGGCGGCAUGCCUUACACAUGCAAGUCGAACGGUAGCGCGGGGCAACCUGGCGACGAGUGGCGAACGGGUGAGUAAAGCAUCGGAACGUGCCCUGGAAUGGGGGAUAACGUAGCGAAAGUUACGCUAAUACCGCAUAUUCUGUGAGCAGGAAAGCAGGGGAUCGCAAGACCUUGCGUUCUGGGAGCGGCCGAUGUCGGAUUAGCUAGUUGGUGGGGUAAAAGCCUACCAAGGCGACGAUCCGUAGCGGGUCUGAGAGGAUGAUCCGCCACACUGGGACUGAGACACGGCCCAGACUCCUACGGGAGGCAGCAGUGGGGAAUUUUGGACAAUGGGCGGAAGCCUGAUCCAGCCAUGCCGCGUGAGUGAAGAAGGCCUCGG